UUUUGGCCAAUACGGACCAUUAGUCUGAUGAAGCAAGACAGUUCUUAGCAGGUUAGGCCAACAGAUAGGCCCUUCUCAGCAUGAAUAUGUGUGCAGAGCCAGGAAAGAUGCAGACACUCCCAAGAAUGUCACAACUCAUCAAGCACCGUGAUCUGGGCCUGGUGCUGGAGCAGGGUAAAGGUAAAGUGUGCUAUCAAGCCGAUUUCGACUCCUGGCGCCCACAGAGCCCUGUGGUUUUCAUUGAGACAUUGCCAAAAACCAUGAUGAGCAUUCACCCUCUGAGAUCGUACUGAUGGCCAGAAUUUGUGGACCUGGCUCAUGGACUACUCUGGUUCCCAGGAGGCAGUACAAUGGCACCAUUAGCGAACAUGCACCAAUGUUAUAAGCUGGAAGAGAAGUCUGGAAAACAGACGAGAUUUUUCGGAAUGCUUGCUGAGAAAGCUUGCAAUUACUGAGCCAAGGGUCCAUCACUAGUUUGUACCUCAUUAAAGAGUUAUAA